AACUUGGAAAGAUCAGGCAACGUUGAAGGU
rnacentral:piRNA from 1 species